GUGCUUGCUUCGGCAGCACAUAUACUAAAAUUGGAACAAUACAGAUAAGAUUAGCAUGACCCCUAUGCAAAGAUGACACGCAAAAAAUAUACAAAAUAAUGUAUUGAU